GCGGAGGGAUCAUUACACAAAUAUGAAGGCGGGCUGGAACCUCUCGGGGUUACAGCCUUGCUGAAUUAUUCACCCUUGUCUUUUGCGUACUUCUUGUUUCCUUGGUGGGUUCGCCCACCACUAGGACAAACAUAAACCUUUUGUAAUUGCAAUCAGCGUCAGUAACAAAUUAAUAAUUACAACUUUCAACAACGGAUCUCUUGGUUCUGGCAUCGAUGAAGAACGCAGCGAAAUGCGAUAAGUAGUGUGAAUUGCAGAAUUCAGUGAAUCAUCGAAUCUUUGAACGCACAUUGCGCCCUUUGGUAUUCCAAAGGGCAUGCCUGUUCGAGCGUCAUUUGUACCCUCAAGCUUUGCUUGGUGUUGGGCGUCUUGUCUCUAGCUUUGCUGGAGACUCGCCUUAAAGUAAUUGGCAGCCGGCCUACUGGUUUCGGAGCGCAGCACAAGUCGCACUCUCUAUCAGCAAAGGUCUAGCAUCCAUUAAGCCUUUUUUUUCAACUUUUGACCUCGGAUCAGGUAGGGAUACCCGCUGAACUUAAGCAUAUCAAUAAGCGGAGGAAAAA
rnacentral:rRNA from 1 species